GCGGACAUAGCUCAGGGGUAGAGCAUUGGCUUCCCAAGCCAAGUGUCGCGGGUUCAAAUCCCGUUGUCCGCUCCA
rnacentral:tRNA from 1 species